rnacentral:rRNA from 1 species
UGCGAGUGAAGCGGGAAAAGCUCAAAUUUAAAAUCUGGUGGUCUUUGGCCAUCCGAGUUGUAAUCUAGAGAAGUGUUAUCCGCGCUGGACCGUGUACAAGUCCCCUGGAAUGGGGCGUCAUAGAGGGUGAGAAUCCCGUCUUUGACACGGACUACCAGGGCUUUGUGAUGCACUCUCAAAGAGUCGAGUUGUUUGGGAAUGCAGCUCAAAAUGGGUGGUAAAUUCCAUCUAAAGCUAAAUAUUGGCGAGAGACCGAUAGCGAACAAGUACCGUGAGGGAAAGAUGAAAAGAACUUUGGAAAGAGAGUUAAACAGUACGUGAAAUUGUUGAAAGGGAAACGCUUGAAGUCAGUCGCGUCUGCCAGGGAUCAACCUUACUUUUGUGAGGCGUACUUCCUGGUUGAUGGGUCAGCAUCAGUUUUGGUCGCUGGAUAAAGGUCAGAGAAAUGUGGCACCUUCGGGUGUGUUAUAGUCUUUGAUCAGAUACAGUGGCUGGGACUGAGGAACUCAGCGCCGCAAGGCUGUCUUAGGAUGCUGGCAAAAUGGCUUUAAUCGACCCGUCUUGAAACACGGACCAAGGAGUCUAACAUGCCUGCGAGUGUUUGGGUGGAAAACCCGAGCGCGUAAUGAAAGUGAAAGUUGGGAUCCCUGUCAUGGGGAGCACCGACGCCCAUACCAGAAGUUUACGGACGGAUAUGCGGUGGAGCAUGUAUGUUGGGACCCGAAAGAUGGUGAACUAUGCCUGAAUAGGGCGAAGCCAGAGGAAACUCUGGUGGAGGCUCGUAGCGAUUCUGACGUGCAAAUCGA